CCCUUAGAUGUUCUGGGCCGCACGCGCGCUACACUGACGAAUGCAACGAGCUUAUAACCUUGGCCGAAAGGUCUGGGUAAUCUCCAAAUUUCGUCGUGAUGGGGAUAGAUUAUUGCAAUUAUUAAUCUUCAACGAGGAAUGCCUAGUAAGCGCAAGUCAUCAGCUUGCGUUGAUUACGUCCCUGCCCUUUGUACACACCGCCCGUCGCACCUACCGAUUGAAUGGUCCGGUGAAAUCCUCGGAUCGAGCCGUGGGGCAACUCCGGUUCGAGAAGUUGAUUAAACCUUACCAUUUAGAGGAAGGUGAAGUCGUANCA
rnacentral:rRNA from 1 species